ensembl:processed_transcript Rian RNA imprinted and accumulated in nucleus
AGAUGAUUUACACAGCCUAGCUGGAUCAGGAGCCCCCUAAUAAGCUGCUUCAGAUUGUAAUAUAGACACAGUAAUGUAUGCCUGCAGGAUGAGUCCCACCUUCUUCAUUAGUCUUGAGGUUUGAGAUUCCCUGUUUGUGUCUGCAGGAUUCAGAUAGUGUGAGUAUAGUCUGUGUUCUUGUGUUGGAAUUCUUUUGCUUGCAUAAAAACAGGGUAGAAAAUAUUUCUGGGGCUGGUGAGAUGGCUCAGAGGUUGAGAGCACUGACUGUUCUCCCUGAUGUCCUGAGUUCAAUUCCCAGCAACCCCAUGGUGGCUCACAACCAUCUGUAAGGGCUCUGAUGCACUCUUCUGGU